CUUUCUCCAGGCCGCUCUCUCCAAAGCCAAGUCGCAAUAGAUUCGCCACUCCAGUCCAAGGUAAGUUCUUCUCCCCUCAAGGAUUUUGAUCGACGGCGGAUCGAAGACGUCGUUGAUGAAGAAUAUACAAGCAGUAGAUCGGCGAUGAAGUGGCCGCAACAGCGAGUAAGGCUCUGCUCGGCAAUGAUGAACACACCCACGCGGAGAUAAGAAGGUAGUCGAGCGAAGAAAAUGAGUGGUAUUUCUUAUGCAAAAGAGGCAGAAAAUAUAGGAACAGCAUAAGACCAAAUAGAGUCACUGGAUCUGGUUUCUGGAAGGCAACUGGGUUCGGCGCAAUGGCUCAAGAGGGCUCAAAUGUGUUCUUUAAUGAUGGAUUGUCUCAGCCGUUACAACUCGACAAGCGAAGAUGAACCACACCGGUGACGCAAGGAUACGGUUGUAAUGGAAGUGCUCGUCGACAACAAGUUUUCCGGCGAGCCAAACCUAGUUUUUUGUAACCCUAACUUUGCUACUGAGAUAUGAGGGAUGAGAGAGAUUGACUGUUUGGUUCAAGAGAUAAAGCUAACAGAGAGUUAUAAAACAUGUUUGGUUCAAGAGAUUGAUUGUUUGGUCAAGGGUAUAUACGAAAACGACAAAAGGGUAAAUUAGUCAUUAUAUUUAUUUAUUUAUUUUUGACAGCCAACAAUGUCUGACCGGAGAUGGGGAGUGUAACUGAAGUUAACCCCUGUUUUUUUUUUUUUUUUUUUUUUUUUUUUUUUUUUUUUUUUUUUUUUUUUUUUUUUUUUUUUUUUGUCUAUUCUGUAAAAGAGAUUCUCUCCUAUCUUUAAUAGGGAUUUUCAUUUAUCUUUAGGCCGUGAUUUAGGGAUGGUCUGUCGGGUUUUAGAUCUAUAUAAUGGAUCUUUAUCUCUAGGUUUAGGCAUCAGUUUUUUAAAGGGAAUUUUUUUUGUACAAUUCCAUGCUUGAGUGUGGUUUGCGGCUUGAAAGCUUUCUGUUCAAGCUUUAAAAACAUGAAUUCACUAAUUGACCUUGUGGAGGUAGUUUGAUAGUACGAUGCUACAUUGAAGGCAAAAAUUACAGUGGAAAUUUUUUUUUGCUCACUGGAUUUAGUGACAUGUUUGGGUUUAUCAGGUGGAGCUAGGAAUUUUGAUUUGGGGAUGAAAUUAUGUAGUUAAAGUUUGAAAAUUUUAGAAAUCAUAUAAUUUACUUUUUUCUUUUAAAAGAAAUGGUAAAAAGGUCAUUGAAUUCAUUAAUGUACUAUCCCUUCAUUUCUAAUGUCAUAAUUAUCCUUUAUAUAAUUUUUUUUUUACCUUCUUUAGUUUAUUUACUAUUUUUUUCCUUUCUAUUUAUUUUUCCCAGAUAUCCUCUCAAAAAAAAUAAUUAUUUCAUACUAAUAAUUUAAUUUUUGAUAGUCAAAAGAAAUAAUUUAUUCUAUAAUGACUUUUUUU